rnacentral:rRNA from 1 species
CUACGGGCCGCACCAGUUAGGGAUAUUCGGCAAUGGGGGAAACCCUGACCGAGCAAUGCCGCGUGAAUGAAGAAGUAUUUCGAUAUGUAAAGUUCUGUUGUUAAGGAAGAAAGGUACGAAUAGGAAAUGAUUCGUAAUUGACGGUACUUAACCAGAAAGCCCCUGCUAAUACGUGCCAGCAGCAGCGGUAAUACGUAGGGGGCGAGCGUUAUCCGGAAUUAUUGGGCGUAAAGGGUGCGUAGGCGGCCUGUCAAGUCCGAGUUGAAAGCCCACGGCUUAACCGUGGAGGGUGCUCGGAAACUGAUAGGCUUGAAUCCAGAAGAGGCAAGUGGAAUUCUAUGUGGAGCGGUGGAAUGCGUAGAUAUAUGGAGGAACACCAGUGGCGAAGGCGGCUUGCUGGGCUGGUAUUGACGCUGAUGCACGAAAGCGUGGGGAGCAAACAGGAUUAGAUACCCCGGUAGUC